rnacentral:misc_RNA from 1 species
GACAAACUACACCUUUUAUAAAUACAAGUCUGGUUACAUUCAUCACUGUCUCAUUGCGGACCUCAAGUACGAUACCAAGUAUUAUUACAAGAUUGGGAGUGGUGAUUCUGCUCGAGAAUUCUGGUUCCAGACACCCCCAAAGGUUGAUCCAGAUGCUUCAUACAAAUUUGGGAUAAUUGGUGAUCUGGGUCAAACGUUCAAUUCUCUUUCUACUCUUAAGCAUUAUAUGAAGAGUGGAGGGCAG